UACGGAGGGUGCAAGCGUUAUCCGGAUUCACUGGGCUUAAAGGGUGCGUAGGUGGGCAGGUAAGUCAGUGGUGAAAUCUCCAAGCUUAACUUGGAAACUGCCGUUGAUACUAUCUGUCUUGAAUACCGUGGAGGUGAGCGGAAUAUGUCAUGUAGCGGUGAAAUGCUUAGAUAUGACAUAGAACACCAAUUGCGAAGGCAGCUCGCUACACGAAUAUUGACGCUGAGGCACGAAAGCGUGGGGAGCAAACAGG
rnacentral:rRNA from 1 species